rnacentral:misc_RNA from 1 species
CCCCGCGACGCUUUUGGGACUCUCAGUGCACAGUUGCGCGCUCCGCCGCACACAAGUACAAGGAAGGCACGCGUUAUAAUAUUCUGCCCCUCCGCCUCUCCUGCCAGCGGUGCGACAUCUCGCCCCUCCCUCCAGCUCUUGGCGCGUCUCGGCGUCAGCGUACCUGCCGCUUUCGUCCCUGACCGACUUCGCAAACCCGCGGCAGGGCAAAAGGACGCGUGGGUACGACCUCCACUGCAUACACAAUGAGCAGCGGUAGGCGCGACAUCAUCUUUUUUGGCUCCAUCGCCGUCAGCAUCAUCGGUCAUGAGGUGCAUGAUGAAGCCGUGGCGGCGCAGCUGGAGCGGCAGAAUGCCCGCAUCAAGCUGCACACCACCGCCAGAGCUCCGUAUGCGAAGACGGAGGAGGUCUUCGGUCUAGACGCUACCUCGCCCCUCUACGAGAUCGAUUCCGCCGACUUCAAGGCCAGCCCGGCCAGCUCGCUCACCCCUCAGCGCGGUGCCUCUCAUCCGCGACACCACCGCCAGAAGGCUGCCUUCCUCCCUGUCAUGCUGAAGCUGGCCCAGGACGCGGCGGUGGGGGAGGUGCCCUCGGUCGAGGACCAGGAUGGCGCGCUUCUGCAGCUAGACUCGCCGACGAACAGCGCCGAUCCGGCGCCGAGCUACGCCUCAGCCUCGGUUCGCAUCGAGGUCGGCAUGUCGCGCAGCGGCGGUGACGCAACGCCGGUGGGGACUAAGGAUGUCUUUCUGCCCUCGCUCAACUACCUUGCCAUCCGUGACAUGUGUACUGUUGUGCGCAUCCCGGUGUGGUCCAACAGGAUCCAGAAGUCGGAGACAGGCGAGGUGGAUGUGGCGGAGCUGGACCAUCGGUCUCCGCAGCCGCAAAGAGCCGGCGACGGUAACAGCCGUAGCAGCGGCGGUGUGCUCGGUGGCGUAAGGGACCGCAACAGCAGAGGUGAUGCAGUGAGUGGCGUGGCGCUCAGCGUGUACGCAAUGGUUCGUGUCAUCAGUCUCGCGGAGAAGGUGCGCCUUGCCUUGGAGGCCGACGAUGCCGUACGUUGCCUCUUGAGCCUGCCAGACCCGGUGCCGAGGAUGAGCCUCGCCCUCACCCAGAGAGGCGAUGCCCCGUACGGGGCCAUGCCCCUCACAGAGCUCUAUGAGCACCACCGACAGUUUUUCGGCUAUUACAGCAACACCAUCAUCAAGCACAGCAGCGUGGUGACGCAGCGACUCGCCGAGGCGCCGCGUCAGCGCGAGGCCGACGCGUCGUUCCCCCAUCGCUGGAACACGCUCACGGUUGUGGACCUGCGACCAGCGCUCCUCGGCGAGGACGCGUUCGCGCCUCUUCUGGUCACCUUGGCCUACUGCGCCAACCUCCGCGCCCUGUACGCCGACGGCAACCACCUCGGCGACCUCACCUGUGCGCGCCUCUCCGCCCUCUUCCGACGCCACCGCUACCUUGCCCGCGUAUCACUCUCCAAGAACACCAUUCACGAGGCCGGUGGCGAGCAGCUCUUGCGGCUGGUGCGCAACAACCUGCGUAUCACGUCCAUGCCGUGUCAGGGGAACUACUUCUCCGAUGCGUUGCGCAGCCGCAUCGAGGAGGUUGCCAGGAGAAACGCCAGCGUCAUUGCGCAGGAUCCGCUGAACAUCUUCUCCGCAAGCUACGACUACCUCACCGGCCUCUCAAGUCUGCCCAACUCUCUGCAGCAGCAGGGCCUGCGGACGUGGGCAAUGCUCUCGGCAGCGCCGGUGGGUGACGUCGACGUAAUGGUGCGCAACUUCACUACGAGCACGCAACGUACCUUGGGCGACUCGCCAGUCGUCGCGAUGCAGCGGGCCAAGGCGGCGUUGCGCGCACGCGAGUCCUUCUCUUUGAUACCGCCGGCGGCACUGGCGCCAUUAUUGAACGAGAUCAUGCGCACGGUGUCGGUCGGGGUAUCCCGCGUGCUGCCCGACCCUCUCGUGCGCUCACUCUUCUCGGACAUGGAGACAGUCGUGGCACUGGAGCAGGAGCAGGUCGAGGCUCAGCGUCGUGACGAACUCGCCGGCGGCAGCCGCGACGCGUUGCUUCUUCCGCCCGAUGUGUGCGAUGCCGUGGGUGGCGUGUACACCCCACCCGUCGACUCAGAGACGAUGUACGCUCGCUCCUUCGUGCGCAUCGUCGUGGCGGCACUUCGAGGCGUGGCGUUGGGCACGCCGUGGGCGGAGAUCGCCAAAGUACUUGAGGGCAUAGGCCGCGUGCAUCGCGACCUCGGAGUGAUGCCAGAGGACUACUGGCUCGCAGUGCACAUCUUCAUGACCUCGUUACGCAUUAGCUGUGGUGCGGAGUGCUACGAUGCCGACAACGCAUCCUCUUUCCUCGGUCUGCUGGCUCUGGCGGUGCGGACGGCGGCGGGCACCGACACCGUGCUGCAGUGAGCGGGGCACUGCAUGGUGAGUUGAGGCGGUUGGCCUCUCUACUGCACUUGCGCAGCGUCAUCAAGAGCGGGUCCCAGUCAAUGCGGGUGCGUGUCUCUCUCUGCGCGUGCCACCACCGCCGCCUUCUCCCGCUGUCGUCUGACUUCUUGUGGUGUCGUGUUCGCUCCCGUUGAUGUGUCUAUAGAACCCCCUCCCCCUCUGUCCGCCUUUGUGUGGGCGGAGAGCGGCGGUAUGCAGACGGUUCCCCCCCCCCCGCUCUUCCGUUCUCUCCACGCAUUCUGUCUCUCGCCAUCAAGUGUUCCUUUUCGCUUC